GCCGGCAGCUCAAGUGGUGGCCAUUUUUAUUGGGCCUAAAGCGUUCGUAGCCGGUUUGAUAAGUAGCUGGUGAAAUAAGGGAGAGGAAAUGAGGGACUUGCUGGAGAUACUAUUAGACUUGAGGUCGGGAGAGGUUAGGGGUACUCCCAGGGUAGGGGUGAAAUCCUAUAAUCCUGGGAGGACCACCUGUGGCGAAGGCGCCUAACUGGAACGAACCUGACGGUGAGUAACGAAAGCCAGGGGCGCGAACCG
rnacentral:rRNA from 1 species